rnacentral:rRNA from 1 species
UGGCUGUCGUCAGCUCGUGUCGUGAGAUGUUGGGUUAAGUCCCGCAACGAGCGCAACCCUCGUCCUUAGUUGCUAACAGUUCGGCUGAGCACUCUAGGGAGACUGCCUUCGCAAGGAGGAGGAAGGUGAGGACGACGUCAAGUCAUCAUGGCCCUUACGGCCAGGGCUACACACGUGCUACAAUGGGGCGUACAGAGAGCUGCGAUACCGCGAGGUGGAGCCAAUCUCUUAAAGCGUCUCUCAGUUCGGAUUGUUCUCUGCAACUCGAGAACAUGAAGCUGGAAUCACUAGUAAUCGCAGAUCAGCUAUGCUGCGGUGAAUACGUUCCCGGGUCUU